UACGAAGGGGGCUAGCGUUGUCCGGAAUUACUGGGCGUAAAGAGCUCGUAGGUGGUUUGUCGCGUUGUUCGUGAAAACUCACAGCUUAACUGUGGGCGUGCGGGCGAUACGGGCAGACUGGAGUACUGCAGGGGAGACUGGAAUUCCUGGUGUAGCGGUGGAAUGCGCAGAUAUCAGGAGGAACACCGGUGGCGAAGGCGGGUCUCUGGGCAGUAACUGACGCUGAGGAGCGAAAGCGUGGGGAGCGAACAGG
rnacentral:rRNA from 1 species